rnacentral:rRNA from 1 species
GAUGAACGCUGGCGGCGUGCCUAAUACAUGCAAGUCGAGCGAACGGACGAGAAGCUUGCUUUUCUGAUGUUAGCGGCGGACGGGUGAGUAACACGUGGAUAACCUACCUAUAAGACUGGGAUAACUUCGGGAAACCGGAGCUAAUACCGGAUAAUAUUUUGAACCGCAUGGUUCAAAAGUGAAAGACGGUCUUGCUGUCACUUAUAGAUGGAUCCGCGCUGCAUUAGCUAGUUGGUAAGGUAACGGCUUACCAAGGCAACGAUGCAUAGCCGACCUGAGAGGGUGAUCGGCCACACUGGAACUGAGACACGGUCCAGACUCCUACGGGAGGCUGCAGUAGGGAAUCUUCCGCAAAGGGCGAAAGCCUGACGGAGCAACGCCGCGUGAGUGAUGAAGGUCUUCGGAUCGUAAAACUCUGUUAUUAGGGAAGAACAUAUGUGUAAGUAACUGUGCACAUCUUGACGGUACCUAAUCAGAAAGCCACGGCUAACUACGUG